rnacentral:tRNA from 1 species
GGACGGGUAGCUCAGUUGGUACGACCGCAUGGAUGCAGAAGGUAGAGCAACGCAGGAGCAGUUGCCGAGAGCGUGCGCUUGAAGCGCGCAGCGUCGGUGGUUCGAUUCCACCCCUGUCCACCA